GGAGAGGUGGCCGAGCGGCCGAAGGCGCUCCCCUGCUAAGGGAGUAUACGGGCAAAACCUGUAUCGAGAGUUCAAAUCUCUCCCUCUCCG
rnacentral:tRNA from 2 species